rnacentral:lncRNA from 1 species
UGCGGUGGCCUCCGAUAGGACGUCGUUGGAGUGGUAUAAAGUAUUUGAUGUCUCUUUUUGUGGUCUCAUGAUGGUCGAAAUAAACUCCUCUCUAGAAUUGAACUGCAAUAGCGGCCCUUCCUCUAUCAUCAAUUUGUUGUUGCCAAUCUCUGGACUGAUAUUGAGGUCGAUCUGGAGGUAGCAAGCUGAAGUAGAUGAAGCUCCUCUUGGAUAAAAGCGGCCUCGC